AAUCUAUGAUGAUCUUAUCCCGAACCUGAAUACAUGUUGAGAAAACCAAUACGGAUCUGGCUUCUGAGAU
rnacentral:snoRNA from 12 species